UCUCCAAUCGAAGACAUCAAAGAGUGCAUCUGGAGACCUUUCCUGCCAGUUUACAGUGAAUAAGGAUGAUUUAUUCAGACGUCUGCAGUCAGUGAGGAGCAGAGGGGUGAGCUGUGAUUAUACAGUGAACACAGAACAUCCAUCUCUCUCUCCACGCAGUGACCCAUACACCUUUACAGAAUUUAGCCUUGUCACAACAACAACGCGUCUGUCAUCAUCACAGCCAGGGUUAAGCCUUGUAACAACAACAACAACACCAGC